AUACGGAGGGUGCGAGCGUUGUUCGGAAUUACUGGGCGUAAAGAGAGUGUAGGCGGCUAGCUAAGUCUGGUGUGAAAGCCCGGGGCUCACCCCCGGAAGUGCGCUGGAAACUGGCUAGCUAGAGUAUGGGAGAGGGAAGUGGAAUUCCUGGUGUAGCGGUGAAAUGCGUAGAUAUCAGGAGGAACACCGGCGGCGAAGGCGGCUUCCUGGACCAAUACUGACGCUGAGACUCGAAAGCGUGGGGAGCAAACAGGAUUAGAAACCCCAGUAGUCC
rnacentral:rRNA from 1 species